UACAGAGGUCUCAAGCGUUGUUCGGAUUCAUUGGGCGUAAAGGGUGCGUAGGCGGCGCGGUAAGUCGGGUGUGAAAUUUCGAGGCUUAACUUCGAAACUGCAUUCGAUACUGCCGUGCUUGAGGACUGGAGAGGAGACUGGAAUUUACGGUGUAGCGGUGAAAUGCGUAGAUAUCGGGAGGAACACCAGUGGCGAAGGCGGCUUCCUGGCCUGUUCUUGACGCUGAGGCGCGAAAGCUAGGGGAGCAAACGGG
rnacentral:rRNA from 1 species